rfam:Cajanus cajan CcLG11_1279, whole genome shotgun sequence.
UGAUUCAUUGCAUCUUUUUAAUCAGGGAAAUCACAGUUGAGAGAGUUCUAAGAGAAGAGAAACGUGAGAUCUCUGUUUUUCUUUCUCCACUGCGUUUCCUUGGUUAAAGAUAUGUGCUGGAUCA